rnacentral:rRNA from 1 species
CUUGGUGGCCAUAGCGAAGAUGUAACACCCGAUCCCAUUCCGAACUCGACCGUGAAACGCUUCAGCGCCGAUUGUACUAUGUCUUAAGGCAUGGGAGAGUAGGACACUGCCAAGU